CUACGGGAGGCUGCAGUGGGGAAUUUUGCGCAAUGGGGGAAACCCUGACGCAGCAAUACCGCGUGAGUGAAGAAGGCCUUUGGGUCGUAAAGCUCUUUUCUGAGGGAAGAUAGUGACGGUACCUCAGGAAUAAGCACCGGCUAACUCCGUGCCAGCAGCCGCGGUAAUACGGAGGGUGCAAGCGUUGUUCGGAUUUACUGGGCGUAAAGGGCACGUAGGCGGCACAGCAAGUUAAGGGUGAAAUCCCGAGGCUCAACUCCGGAACUGCUCUUAAAACUGCUGAGCUAGAGAUAGUCAGAGGCGGGUGGAAUUCCAGGUGUAGAGGUGAAAUUCGUAGAUAUCUGGAGGAACACCGGUGGCGAAGGCGGCCCGCUGGGGCUAUUCUGACGCUAAGGUGCGAAAGCGUGGGGAGCGAACGGGAUUAGAUACCCUCGUAGUC
rnacentral:rRNA from 1 species